UACGGAGGGGGGCUAGCGUUGUUCGGAAUUACUGGGCGUAAAGCGCACGUAGGCGGCUUUUGUAAGUUAGAGGUGAAAGCCCGGGGCUCAACUCCGGAAUUGCCUUUAAGACUGCAUCGCUAGAAUUGUGGAGAGGUAAGUGGAAUUCCGAGUGUAGAGGUGAAAUUCGUAGAUAUUCGGAAGAACACCAGUGGCGAAGGCGACUUACUGGACACAUAUUGACGCUGAGGUGCGAAAAGCGUGGGGGAGCAAACAGG
rnacentral:rRNA from 1 species